rnacentral:rRNA from 1 species
GUCUACAGUCAUACCACCCUGAACGCACUCAAUCUCGUCUGAUCUCGGAAGCUAAGUAGGGUCGGGCCUGGUUAGUACUUGGAUGGGGGAAGAUCAUUCUGGUGGUAUGGUAGGAA